rnacentral:tRNA from 1 species
GCCGGGAUGGCGGAAUGGUAGACGCGGCGGACUUAAAAUCCGCUACCUUUGCGGGUGUGUGGGGUUUGAGUCCCUCUCCCGGCACCA